GGCUCUAUAGUUUUAGUGGUAGAACGAGGCCCUCGUAAAGCUUAGGCAUGAGUCCGAUUCUCAUUAGAGCCU
rnacentral:tRNA from 1 species